GGUGUAAUAUAUUACGCGUCUGGCGCCUAAAAAAAAACUCAUUGACGAAAAUUCAUUUCGUCAGGGAGUUUCUUUUUAGGUACUAGCCACGUGAGAUAUUUUUCGCGUUCGAGGCGUCUAAAAAUCGUGUUCCUGACCGAACGAAGUGAGGUCAGCGUACGAUUUUUAGGCGCCGAGACGCGAAAAAUUACUUCAUGUAAUUUAUGUUACCUCCCUGUGGAAAACAAUUGAUUGGCAAGCAUCAUCCACAACAAUUACAACAAUUAAGUAACAGUGAAAAAUAUUGCUGUUUUAGCUAUCAACAACACAACGAUCCGGUUCGGGUCAAAACCAUUCACGAUCGGAUCCUCUGAGACAUGCUCUUUGCGACUCCAAAACGAUGAUAUCGCACCCCAACAUUUGCUGCUGGAACUGUCGCCAGUAGGUUUCCUUACAUUGAAGGUGUUGACGACCAAAACAGUGGUUAAACUGAAUCAGUGCCCUCUGAUACCCUUCAAAAUAUAUCCUGUGUUUACCAUCGGUUACCUGUCCAUGGGCAAGACACAUGGCUGUUUGGGGGUGGUUUAGGAUAAUAAAAUGUUCACAGUAGCAGAAAGAAUCCAUGCGAUCUCUACAACUUCUGUCUGUGAUCUCAGUAAAACAGCGAAGCUCGUACGUGAGGGAAGAAAGCGUAAAAACAAGACCCAACACGAUAUUCCGUUGAAGAAACCAAAAAUGUCUUCGAGAUUGCAGUCUUGCUCCACCGAAAAAACUCUGACGAGCUGAAAUUCUGAGGCUCACUGUCGAUUUUUACAAAAAGCUUUUUUGGCCACAGUGCACGGACAGUGACAGAUUGUACGUGUGAAAACGCAAAUUCACCAGCAUCAUUGAUCCGCUUCAAAGAGCGGUGCACGGAGUACAUACCUGAUGUCAAAAAGAAUCAUGAUUUUACAAGUUCGUGCAGUUGUCGACUCCACUCACAAAUGCUGUAAUUUACUCUUUUAUAAACCUUGUAGAUAAAAAGUAUAGAACUUUCUAGAUAAAAAGUAUCGAAGUGUCUCUUCA